CUUUACUGUAGCUUUGCAUUGGACUUUGACGGGACUUGUGUAGGAUAGGUGGGAGACUUUGAAGCAGGGCCGCCAGGUCUUGCGGAGUCGUCGUUGAAAUACCACCCUGGUGCUGACGAGUUUCUAACCGUGUCCGUAAGCCGGACAUGAGACAGCGUCUGGUGGGCAGUUUGACUGGGGCGGUCGCCUCCUAAAAGGUAACGGAGGCAUUCAAAGGUCCCCUCAGCGUGGUCGGUAAUCACGCGCAGAGUGCAAACGCAUAAGGGGGCUUAACUGCGAGACCGACAGGUCGAGCAGGUACGAAAGUAGGAGUUAGUGAUCCCGCGGUUUAGCGUGGAAUUGCCGUUGCUCAAUGGAUAAAAGGUA
rnacentral:rRNA from 1 species